GGGGGCGGGGCCUGUGGGGCAGGUUCUUCACUCACCUCUCCCGGCCUUGGGUGGGGGUCGUGGGUCUGACCCCUCCUCAUUGAGGUGUUUGUGCCCAUACACACCGUGUCCAGCGUGCUGCUGGUGAGAGAAAAAGGGAAAUAAAGCAUCUUCUCCAGCUGCUUUUGUAAGGAGGAAGUGUGUUCCUGCAACACCUGCAGUGCCCAGCUGAUGUCCCGAAUGCUAAUUGGUGAUUCUCUUUUGCUUAACGUCUGUCCUUUUUCAGCCGUUGUGGAUCGAAAUGAUUUUCCUACAGCAUUGGGCUUAAUGACCUUCUGCAGCAGCGAGCUGAGCAGAAUGAGCUGCUCCAUAAAGCGCUUCUGUUCAUUUGCCUUCAAGUUCUCAGCUAUUGAGUUAAUCAGUUGCUAUUUCUCUUGCAUAUCAGCUGUGCUCAGAGCACUUUUACAGCUUAAUGGCACACAGAAGAUAGCCCAAGGGUGCACCAAUUGAACUCUGCCAUCCUGGAUGCUCACUGAAGGCCCCUCUUCCAGAACUCACCAUUGGAAGCAGCAUCCUACGAUGUGGUUUGUCAGAUCUCCAAAGCUGGAGAGACUGGGGCCUGAUCGAUAUUUGGAUGAGCCACCUCGUUAGGUGUUACGGACCGCGCUGCUGGUGAUUCAUCCGGUGGCUGUUGUCUGUCUAUGAGUCAGGGCUGAACAAAUGCCACUGCGCAGUGCUUGUGGGCUCUGCUGUCCACUUGCACAGCACUGGAGAGCUUUGCCAAUUGGAUCUACUGGGAGAUCACUUGUGUGCUGUCCAGCUGCGCAGCAUAUGAGAGCUCUGCCAAUUGUAUUUGUUGGGAGAUCAUUUGUUUUCCUGGUGUCAAAACCCUCCCUUGCAUCCCUUGCAGGGAAAGCAGAAAGUCUCAAAUUCCGAAGUUAAAAGAGUAUGACUGUUGCAGGAUUCACCACUUCAACAUACAGCAGUUGUGAGUUGAGUUGAGUUACUUGAGUUACUGCUUUUUCUAUGUCCUUUCAGCUAUCCUGUAUCUUCACCUGAGCUGCACGACAGUCAUCAUAUCUGUCCAGGUCUCUUUCAAAGGUACUGCUGGCCAGCAGGAGUUAUUUACUGCCUUCUGAUUUGUCUGAAAUGAGUAGAACUGUAAAAAUCCCUCUUUAAUGUCGCAAUAAUGUAACAAAAUUAAAGUUUGAUGAGGACUGUAUAAUGCUAGGCGUGAUUCACUUCAAUGGUAAAAUACAUGUUUAUGGGGGAAAAAAGAAGGAGCCUGAGAUUUAAUUGAUAUGAUCAGCAGGGUCUCCUUAACUUGUUCUUUAUUUUUAUCAAAAUAUGGAUAGGCACCUUAAAAAGACACAAAUCCAGGAAUCUCUGCCUUCUUUACCUGCUUUUCAUGACAAAAAUGGUGAAGACAAUCAUUCUCUGAUAGGAUUAAACCAGCUGAAUAUUUAGAAUUAUGGUACCAAAAUGAAUGGGAGGAUUAGAUGGAUAAAAACAUUAAUCCAGUCAUAGACAACAAAAUUCAGCCAUUCAGAUCUGGCAUUACGGGAGCAGCUUUAACAUAGUAUCAAGGAUUUGGGGUGAUCUGCUGUUUGUUUUAUUCAGAAGGUGGGUGGAAUAUGCUAUUUCCCUUCCUGAUUCAUCUCCUUUUCUGGAAGAGAUGCCACCGGUUUUAACAGGAUUACUUGGAAAAUAGUGCAUUGCUCAACAAGAGCAAGCAUGGCCGAUCAUUUCCUUAAGAUGUUCAGGUGCAAAAACAAACCAAACUCUAUGAGAAAGAAUUAAUUAGUGUAAAAUUUUUUCAAACAUUGUGCCAAGAUUAAGACUUCGAAAACAUUAGCUGGAGCCCUACUGAAAGAGUGGUCUAAUUGUGUAGCGUUUAAUUACUUAAAGGUGUAUUUGCCAACUGGAAAAGCAAAAUAAAGACAGGGAUUGCAUGCACAGAAAGAGCGACUGCACAGUUUAGAUCCUGAGUUCAUUUAUCUCACUUUAUUAAAAUAGAGAAAUACAUAUAUGGCACAGAACUACUUGUUGUAAUACUACUUUUUAAACUUAAGUCAAAAGUCCCAUGUAAGAGCGAUGAAAUGUUCCAAACAAUGACAUUCACCUUGGGAUUCCUGAAGCUGGUUCUUUUGUAUCUUGUAAAUCUUAGUUGUUUCUGGAUGAACGUAUUGAAAUCAACCACUAGUUGAACUAUGAUUUUUUUCCGUCAUGAAUUGAAAGUAUCAUUUUAUAUAACAGAAAGCUUUGAAUCCGUACCUAAAGCAGUGAUUGUCAACACCAACAAAGUGGUAUUUAUUGGCUUCAUAACUUUUAAAAACCGCUGAUAUUUUUUUUGGCUUUGUACACUGGGGUAAUUAUGAACUGUCUUUAGUGAUCCCUUAGCAAACUAACAGUUGGCUGCUAGUAGACAAAGUUGAAUAAUAAAGCAGACCUGGUCAUAAUGGAAACAUUCACAAGAAGCAUAUUUUGAAUUUGUGCUUCUUGGAAUACUUUUGUUGCCUUUCUUUUCAGGUCAUGAUUAAAAGUUAGGCAUCGUAAGAUCUAUUGGUUGGAAGCAGGAACAAUUCAUAUGCUAAAUUGAAAGUGUCCGACACACUAGUCCAUAUUUAUUUAGGGAUUUUUUUCUUUCUUGAAUGUACAGAAUUUCAUACCUGAGCUUAUUUUUUUUUUCUCACAGAUUUGCUGUCAUGAUAAACAGUUUCCAUUUCGUCAGAUGGACCACCAAGAGUUCAGCAUGAAUUGUCUGAAAGAUUGGCUUUCUUUUGGUACCUGGCAAUAUUUAGGAUGGAUUGACUGCGUUUAGGACUCUUUGACCUAGUUCAGUGGCAAGGAGGUUACCUUUCCAAUUUAAGCAGCUCUGCCUCUAAGUUGAGGAGUUUUGAGACACACAAGAUUUCCAUUAUCUUGUUCUGUGUUGCAGGGUUUGGGGGUUUUGCUGUGACUCCUUUUUUCCAGCCUUUUGAAGUACCAGGCUCAUGUUGUGCUUGCAGACAAAGAAGCUGAAGAAAGUUUUUGUCGACUUCUUCACAUAAGGGUGCAUUUUAAACUUGUUCAUUGAAAGGCCUCGCAGUGCAAGUCCUUGUCUGGCAAGAUAACAGCCUGAGUUCAGUGUGCUCAUGGAACAUUAAUUAGUCUCUUCAUUCAGAUUUUCCUGUUUUCUUUUUCUUUUUUUUCCCCUCUUUUUCCAAUAGGACUGAAUAUAUAGCAUGUCGCCAACAUUCUCUGUGGUUUUCUGAAAAAAUUUAACUGCUUCAUGGUGGCUUGGAGGAAGCUGGUUCCUCUCAUACAUACAUGUUUUUCAAGUCUUUUUCUUCCAAAUGAGGUAACCAGAUGGUGCAAAAGCAUCAUCUGUGUGUUCAGACAAAUGCCACUUGGACCUACAAACUCUGUGAUGGUAGAAAUCAAGUAUACGUCACUAGCUUCAGAAUAAUGGAACCAUUGAAAAUUGACAAACCAGGAUGAGCACAAAGAACACUCUUGUUUUGUGAAGUUAUGUGCAGGAAAAAGCUCGAGUCGUGGUUGAUGAGGUGUCUCAGAAAUGUUAACAGUGUCAAGCAACUGGCAAUUGGUUCCUGUGGCAGGAAAUAGCGAAGGCAGCUCAGUGCUACAAGCAGUAGAAGCUGGCCUUAUUGUUGUUGGAAUUGUAGUUUCCUCCUUUUUAAUCAUCUGUGUUGUAAGUGAAUUUGUUUUAGCCCCUGGAGAAUACAUAUUCUACUUUUGUGUGGUCUCUGCAUAUUUAGUAAGAGUGGUACUGGCUAAUGUACACAUGGCUCUUGGGCAAGCUAAACUGCUUAGCUGGUCACUUGGUUUAUGCAAUUGUGUUUGUUACAGGAAGUCUGAAACAUGGCAGGAUGCAUGUCUAUGCUAUAAGGGACUAUUAAAAACAAAGACACCACCUCUGAUUUUGGGAGUCUCAAAGCCUCAAAUUGCCAGGGGCUGGGAAGAUACUGGGGAGCGGUACCACUGUGCAGUUGCCCACUGCAUUGCAGUGGGGUGUUGCUAGAGACAGAACUCCAAGCUUUGAUCUGGCCCACUAUGUCUGUGUUCAUCUACAUCUGCUCUUAUGUUUUGUCUGUGCACAGUAGUUUUAAGAAACGAUAGACAACACAUGAAAUCAUUUUUUGUUAGUCUGUAAGGAAAACUAUCCACUUGAAACCAAUAGUCUGAGCUGGUGUUUUGUCCUGCUCUGUAUGUUGAUAUAGGUGGUGAUGAUCAUUAAUAUAAAUGAGACAUGAGUAGAAAACACAAGUACCUGUUAAAGUCUUGGAUUCUCUCCAAGAAAAAUGGGUCAAUGAAGUCAAACCCUUUUGUUCUCUUUGAAGCAUCUCUGUAGUUCAAGCUGAUUCUAUUUUAACACUGGAAACUAUUUAAUUCUUCUUUUCUUUAAAGUAACCUGUAAUCUUUCCAGGCACUUCAACUAGAGACAAUAGUAAACCCUUCUGAAUGCUACUGUGGAUACCUCUUUUCAGCCUGGGAGAGUCUAUUGACUGUAGAAGCGAGUAGUUUCUGUUUAUUUUCUCAUGUUCUUGCAAACAAAUAUACAACUGACAAAUGCUCCCUAUAAAGUAAUAACAAGAUAAGGAACAAAAAGAAAGAAAAAUAAAUAGUCUGAACUUCUAUUUGAGAUUUUUCAACUUGAGCUCUUUGAAUCCAAGCAAUGAAUACGCUCAGUGAUGACAGCUCACGCUGGUAUCUUGUACAUCGACCAGCCUUCCAAAUGAUAAGUCAUGUAUAUUUUCUUUUGGAAGGAGCUGUCUUUGGAAAGGGGGAUCACAUAGCUUGAAAUUUUGCUUGCAACAUGAAAAGAAAGAAUAAUAUUUCUUCUGCAUGAUGUUUUGAUGUUUGUUCCAGGGUAGAUGAACACUACUCCAAAGUUUCUUUCAAAUGAGAAGGGUCUGGAGAUGAAAUCAGUACAGUCAGCCUGGCUCAGUGUCCUCAGCUCAGUGUUGUGGUGAGAUCCACCACCAUCUCACCAUGCAUACUUUUGAGGCCUACAGACAUUCAGCCAAAGAGCCUUAUGUCAGAUGAUGGAAAGACCAUGUCCAGCAGCAUUUUAGAGAACCCUGUUGGAAGGGUGAAGAAAUAUGAAGAUCAUGUUUUGCACCCUUCCUGGAAUACUGUGAAGAUUCCUGUUCAGAGAGGAACAUCUCCUUGAUCUAAGUGAUCUCCAGCUGCCAUCAUGUUGUUCACAGUGAUACACGCAUAUUUUGAACCAUGUAACAAAGCUUGAAUCAUGAAAGCUGAGGUCUGUGACAUGGAAAGAGGCCUUGGUAAAUCAAUAAAGCUGUAUAUCCACGUGGUAAAAACAAAACAUCAAGUCUCUGGUUGCUCUGCUGCAAAUGGAGUUACAUGGUCCUUCCAGCAAUUUUUUCACUGACAGAAACAAUCAUAGCAGUCCCGGCUGGGCAUAAAUGGGAGAUAAAGACAAGUUAUGAACAAUGCAGAAGUGCAAGCUAAGCUCAUCUGCACCACAUGGAUCGUAUAGAACAUGGUCAAGACUCCCCAAUGACUGUCCUGUAUUACUGCAAAGAGAAAGAUCUGGGGAUUUUUCAGACAUUGUGCUUUGCUAGUCUGAAGGAAAGCUGCUCAAAAUGUGAACUGGAGCAUUGACAGUGAUAGCAGUUUUGGCUUUAUCUACAAAACAGUCUUACCUCUUGAAAAUUAUUUUUCAUUCCCAGUGGUCAGAGCAGAUGGACUGUAGAGGUGUUGCAGAGGCUUCUUUUCCAGAUAAGGAACUGGAAGCGGAGAGAAGAGAGUUACAGAAUGUGAGUGGACAGUGAUGGACACCAAGUUGAACACGAGCCAGUAACGUGUCCUGGCUACUAAGAAGAUAUCCUGGGCUGCAUCAGGCAAAGCACUGCCAGCAGGUUGAAGGAGAUGAUCCUUCCCCUCUACUCAGUACUGCUGAGGCUAAACCUGGGGUGCUGGGCCCAAUUCUGAGGCCUCUUGUACAAGAGAGGUAUGGAUAUACUAGGAAGAGCCCAACAGAGGACUGCCGAGGUGAUGAGGAGACUGGAGUACUUCUCCUGUGAGGAGAGGCUGAGAGCUGUGGCUGCUCAGCUGGACAGGAAGAGGCUCAGGGGGAUCUCAUCAACGUCCAUAAAUCCCUGAUGGGGAUGGUUCCAAGAGGCCAGAGCCAGGCUCGGUCAGUGGUGCCCGGUGCCAGGACCAGAGACCGUGGACACAAACUGGAACACAGGAAAUUCCCUCUGAACUCCAGGAGCACUUCUUUGCUGUGCAGUGAUGGAGCGCUGGCACACUCCUGUCCUUGCUGGCACAGGGGUUGGAGCAGGUCCAGAGAUCAAACACUACCUACCUCAACCAUUAUGUGAUUCUGUGAUUCUGUGAAGUAUGGACAUUUGGACAAUAACAUUGUCUUCCUAUACAACUAAUGAUGGAGAACAGGCCCCAGUACUGGUUUCUUACUCUGAAUUGUACUCAUGAAUGUCUUUCUCCUUUCCACUAACUGCUGAAAUAUCCUUGGAAGGCUGGUUGUGUAAUUUAGGCACCUAAGUCCUGAAAAUUGCCAAGACAGGAAUGGUGCUACAAUAAUGGAUUUGUUUUUUUGAAUUUGCCUGUGAGACCUGCUGGCCAGUAAAUACUGACAGAUGUGUUGAUAAGGAAUCAUCAAGCUUAGAGUGGGAAAUCAGAGCUGACAUCUCAGUGCCACCAAAUCAUCAGAUACUGAAUUCACUGGAAUUGGUAUUUCAGCCCAGUGGGCAAACUGCAGCAAGACACACAUUCAUCUUGUCCCAUCCUAUCCUGUCCCAUCCCUUCUUGUCUUAUCUCAUACCAUCUUGUCUCGUUCGAUCCUGUUCCGUUCCAUCCUAUCCUUUUCAUUCCUUUUUCUUCCUGCCCCAUCCUGUCUUGUUCCAUCCCAACCCAUCCCAACCUGUCUCAUCCCAACCUGUCUCAUCCCAUCCUGUCCUAUUCCAUCCCAUCC